CUAUUAUUUCACACUCGCUGGGGCCAUCUAACGCCUAUCUUACUGCUGGCAGCACACACACAUACACACUCACACACAAAUGCUUGUAGUUUUCUUUCCUUCCUUCAGCGCUGCUGGCUGUAUUGCCUUUUUUGUUUAACACACUUUUUUCACCCACACACACGCACACACAAGCAGGCGGUGGCGUCAAUUGUAAACGCACCACCGCUUCCACACGCCACCUACCCGCGCUUGAGCGAUACAAUGAUACGCACGCACACUAUACACACACACACAUAGAAAUACACGGUCACAGUGUGACACUGGCCCGUCGAGCGUAGCGUAGCUCCGCACGAGUACACGUCUGCACAGCUCGAGUGCAACAAUAUCAAUGAAGCCGUCUGGCGCGGUGUCUGCUUCGAUGAGCGUCUGGCAGCGAGCAAAUGUCUCUCUCCAACCGUACCGCAAUGAGAGCGCGAGCGAGAGAGAGAGCGAUCCCGCACGCACGCACACAUCCAAACACACACACUCUGCCCGUUUGCGCAACUUUGUGGAGGAAAGCAAAAGCAAAAAAAAAGACGGAACGACGGCUCGCGCGCCUUCAGUGUGUGUUGCAAGGGUAAACCCUACUAGCAAUGAGAAUGUAAAAGUGUGCGUCUUUCAGGCGAGGGGCAUGUAGAAACAGGGGGAGACGGUUGGAAAUACGCGGAAUUACGCGGCGGCGAGAGCGUGUUUUGCUUUCUACACAGUUUUUGCACUCACACAAUCACACAUGUGUGAAUGUGUGCGUUCACUUUCAGCCAGCGCGCUCAGUUUGGUUUUCUCGCAGCGGCUUGCUGGUGUCGGUGUCUCGCUCGCACUAGUGCAGCGAGUGUUCCUCGUGCGUUCCCUUUCUUGCUACCACACAAAAUCGUCAGUACAGUUCAAGCCUUCGCAGUGUGAGGCCGCGCGCGUUUUAGCCUAAGUCCCGGGCGCUCGAUUAUUCAACAUACACAACAUACAGGCAGUAAGGCGGGUGCUUGAAGUGACGAUUUUUUUUUAAUAUUUAUAAUAAAAAAUAUGUGUGGUUUUGUGGCAAGAUUGUGGUUAGCGAUGUGUGGAACUGUGCCUUAAGUUUCAAUAAAGUGUUAAAAUAUCAAACGAGUUUGAUGUAAUUAAAUUUA